rnacentral:rRNA from 1 species
GUCAACUCGCGUCGGGGAGCCGGGUUAAGGCGGUGGGUGUAGGUGUUUAUCGGAAUCACUGGGCGUAGAGCUAGGUGAGGCGGUUUGUUAAGUCGUGUGUGCAAGCCCCGGGCUAAACCUGGGAAUUGCAUCCGAUACUGGAGAGCUGGAGUGCGAUAGAGGGGGGUAGAAUUCCUAGUGUAGCGGUUAAAUGCGUAGAUAUUAGGAGGAAUACCGGUGGCGAAGGCGGCCCCCUGGAUCGACACUGACGCUGAGGUGCGAAAGCGUGGGUAGCAAACAGGAUUAGAUACCCCGGUAGUC